UUCGGCCUGGUUAUUCAUAACCCUUUGUUGUCCGACUCUGUUGCCUCCGGGGCGACCCUGCCUUCGGGCGGGGGCUCCGGGUGGACACUUCAAACUCUUGCGUAACUUUGCAGUCUGAGUAAACUUAAUUAAUAAAUUAAAACUUUUAACAACGGAUCUCUUGGUUCUGGCAUCGAUGAAGAACGCAGCGAAAUGCGAUAAGUAAUGUGAAUUGCAGAAUUCAGUGAAUCAUCGAAUCUUUGAACGCACAUUGCGCCCCCUGGUAUUCCGGGGGGCAUGCCUGUUCGAGCGUCAUUUCACCACUCAAGCCUCGCUUGGUAUUGGGCAACGCGGUCCGCCGCGUGCCUCAAAUCGUCCGGCUGGGUCUUCUGUCCCCUAAGCGUUGUGGAAACUAUUCGCUAAAGGGUGUUCGGGAGGCUACGCCGUAAAACAACCCCAUUUCUAAGGUUGACCUCGGAUCAGGUAGGGAUACCCGCUGAACUUAA
rnacentral:rRNA from 1 species